UACGUAGGUGGCAAGCGUUGUCCGGAUUUACUGGGUGUAAAGGGCGUGUAGCCGGGCUGACAAGUCAGAUGUGAAAUCCGGGGGCUCAACCCCCGAACUGCAUUUGAAACUGUUGGUCUUGAGUAUCAGAGAGGCAGGCGGAAUUCCUAGUGUAGCGGUGAAAUGCGUAGAUAUUAGGAGGAACACCAGUGGCGAAGGCGGCCUGCUGGACGACAACUGACGGUGAGGCGCGAAAGCGUGGGGAGCAAACAGG
rnacentral:rRNA from 1 species